CCAUCAUAACUAAUCCCAACAUAACUUAUCCCAACAUAACUUAUCCCAUCAUAACUCAUUUUCAAACCAAACGACCCCUAAGUGUAUAUAUAUAUAUAUACACACCCCUUCCCUUCGGCCCGUGCUGACAUGGGAUUCUCUUCUAGUUACCAUCACUAUUCACCAACAGUUAACAUCUAAAUAUCUUCAGAGAAAAAAUUGUCGAAUAUGAGACCAAGUAAUAUUAUAACAAGCUCAAAACAGAGCCUUGACAAUGUGCGCCUUACAUCAGGAUCGGAAUAUCUAACCUACCAAAACAAAACCUCAUGGCCCCUGACGAACAUAUCUAAUAACCAAUCAAUAAUACAAGGAAGCAGCAAAUACAUCCUCAAACAACAAAGACAAAAAGUCCAAAUAGAGAAAAUUUAAGGACUAGGAAUAUGGAAAGGUGCAACAGUGAAACUGAUCUGCUCUGAGCUAUGCCAUCUAUUCAAAUGCUUCAUCAUCGUCAUCUGGAAGUGGCUGAUUAAGGGCUUGUUGAAGCUCCUGUUCAUGCCUGAAUAAACAGUGUGGUUAAAAUUAAAAAUCGUACAACGAAAAAACAAAAUGUUAAGCACAAGGAGCCUAGCACAUCACAGAGCCAAGCGCUAUAGGGUCGAUUUGCAUGAUCUAAACCUAACAGGAACCUAAUACUUGUUGGUAUUCUUUAAGAUACGAGGGUUGCUCAUGAUCAAAAUCAUCAGUUCUAACUCUGAUAUACAUAUUAAGAUGCAAUGAACAUUGUCCAACUCUGUUAUACAUAUAAAACAGUGAAUAUCUGAUAUUUUCACAGACUUGCUAACAGUUAUCAAUUCUAUGGAAUACACAUAUAAAACUCUUACAAUGCCUGUGCAGCUAAGUCAAUUUGUACUUCUGGGGGAGCAAGUGCAGGUGAUUCCACAAAGUGAAGAUUACCAUCCCUACAAGUAGAACAAGAAAUUAGGUUCACAUCAACAGUACAUAUGAAUAGAACAGACAAGAUAUAGAUUUAUAUUUAUGAACAUUAAUUACCCAGCAAGCUUUCUAGCAAGGUACAGAAAAGGCUUCUCAAAGUUGUAGUUACUCUUUGCUGAGAUCUCAUAGUAUUGCAAAUUUUUCUUCCUGUGGAAGGUAACUUGCUUUGCCUUAACCUGCCUGUUCUUCACAUCAACUUUGUUUCCACAGAGAACAAUGGGGAUGUUUUCACAAACCCUGGAAGAAGCAAUUGAAUAGCAUUUCAGAUUUCAAUUGCAUAUCAUCAAUUAUAAGUAAGAGUAUAAUGCUGGCAGCCUAUGAAGAGUUCCUCACCGGCAAAGAUCUCUAUGCCAAGUAGGAACAUUCUUGUAGGUCAGACGGGCUGUAACAUCGAACAUGAUAAUUGCACAUUGCCCAUGAAUGCUGGACAAUUGACAUAGAGAAAUAUGAGAAUCAAAAAUACAGUCACCAAAAGCUUCAAGCAAGACAAUUAAUGUCAAGGCAGUCAUACAAGUAACAAAUGUUUGAUGUAAAAAAGGAAUAGCAGGGUAAAUAUGGUAUUCUGAGCUCAAAAGAGACGCGGAUGUGAGCACAAUUACUGUCACCUCAGAUAUGAUUAACCACAUUGUAGAAAUACCUAUAGUGGCAUUUGAUGUAGAACACCACACGUUAUCAAUUAUUCUUCACAAACAAACCAGCAUUCCUUAAUUCCAAUAUUUCAGCUUUUGGGAAACAUGAAACUUCACCCAUUUAACUUGACAGUAAAAGUUUUAAUCAUAAAAUAACAUCUAUCGAGCAGCAGAGCCUUGCAUAAACUAAAGGUUUUAACUGCCUACAAUCACUUACUAGUAACCAUCUCUGAGACCUCCAAACUUCUCUUGUCCGGCUGUAUCCCAGCAAUAAAAGCGAAUUUUCCCACAAUUUGUGAAGAAGUCUAGUGGAUGAACCUCCACACCAAUAGUGGCUGUAUGAAAACAAAACUUAAUAAAUAAUUUACUCACGAGAAACCAACAUAACAAGAAACAGAGCGAGAGCCUAUUGAAAAGGAUAACGACCCAGAUUAUCAGAAGACUCUAUCUGUCAGUACAGGAAAUAAAAAACUUACGUUCGUAUUUUUUCUCAAAUUCACCAGUGAGAUGCCUUUUGACAAAAGUCGUCUUCCCUGGAAAUCCAAUUACAACAGGAACCAUUAGGGUACUCUAACAAAAGGAAGCAAGCCACUAAUCUCAAUGAAACAUUCACUUCAAUUUACAAAGAUCAGAUUAUCUACGAUAAAUAGCAUUUAUCCCAUAAAUUCAGUGUAUACUCAUACAUUAUCAAUUAACUAUAUUGAAAUAACUUCCAUAUUUAAAAACUAUUCUGAAUCAAAAUUUCACACAAGUCAGUAAUGUUUUUCAAAUGUUUGAAGAAAUCAAAACAAAAUAUCUGUUUGACAUCAAAAUAUUGUUACUGAUAUUCUCUUCGAAACAAACGAUACUAGAAACAAAUCUCAGAUAAACAUAGAAACAUACCAGUUCCUCCAUCCCCCACAAUAACAAGCUUGAAGCUUGGAUAAUCUACAGUUUGUUGGUUUGGUAAAGCCUGUAAUAAUAAAUUCACAAACAUCAACACAAGAAAUCAGCCAAAACAGUUACAAUUCAACACUGGUCACAUAUCAAACUUCAUAAACACAUCACAAUCAAAGUUAAAAAUCAACUUCCUAGAAGAACAAAAAGGAGCAAUUGGACAACAAAAAAAUCAACAAAGUGUAUAAGCACCUCAAACUGAAACCUGUGGGGGAUUUUGAUGUCUCAAAAAAGAAGAUAAAACAGAUUGAAGACACAGAAGAUGGCGUACAUACAUCUUUAAAGCUUUACGUCUUGGUCAUAUUUGCUAUUUAUAAAAAAAUUCUUUCUUAUAGAAAGAAUGAAUAAUUUCUAAAUUAAUUAUUCGUAUGUAGAUUUUCAACAAUCAAUUUAUGUUUGUGAACUCCCAUCUUAGAGAAUGAAUCAUUUAACUCUAGUAUAUACCAUCUAAGUUCUCCACAGGCUAUCUCUCAAAAGAAAGAAUAUUUUAACAGCCCUAUUUUAUAAUUUCAAAUGUUUUAAGCCAAAUCCCACCACACGUAUCCAUACCUCAAUCCAUAUGGAUACAAAUCCAACACCCAGAUACGCAUCCAAAGCUUAUACACACAUCUAUCUCAAACUAUUCAGGGUCGAUUAGACACCUUAGAUCAGUUAUCAUUCCAAAUACAACAAAAAAUAACUCACUACAUCUUCAAAAACUCAUCCAACCAAAGCUAAAACCAACUUCUAAAACAAAGAAAAGGAACAACUUGACCAAACAAAGCCUAUAAACACCUCAAUCUCAUCAUCCCAAUACUGAUACACAAUUUGCAGCUAUAAAAGUUCUCCUGUACAUAACAACACUUCCCAUUCCAAUUAUGAUAAUCUACCAGCCGAGAAGAAUAAACUCAUCUAAAUCCUCAAAUACUCAUCCAAAUCAAAGUUAAUACAAAAAAAUAAAUCCAGCGAAUCGUAUAAACAUCUCAAUAAUCAUCUAAUUAUCAUUCCAAUUCUCGAAAAAAAAUCAACUAAUUAUAUGAAAAAUAAACGAGAUUUACUCACCAUUGUCGAAAGUAUGAGAAGAAAAUUCCUUCAAGAGAGAGAGCGGCAGAGCUUUUUUGUGUGUGUGAGGAAUGAAAAGCGAAACGGAAGUAGGGUUUAUAAAUUGGGGAAUUCGCUUAAACUUAACGCCAGUCUUUUUUUUUAUAUUCUAUUUUUGAAUUUCAAAUUUUUGUGUGUGUGUUAGAAACAUAAUAAACUAAUGUUUUUUAAAAAAAUAAAUAAAUAAAUUCUUUAUGUUUGUUUUUAACUUUUGUAAGUUUUAAGCUAAUAUAUUUUGUAAUUGGGUCCACUAGGAAUGUAUUAUUGCGUUUAGUCACCCUUGUUGUAUUACAAAUUACACAAAACUUUGACCGUUUGGCAGAGUAAUAGCGGAUUUAGGAUUUUCAUUCGGGAGUUUGAAACAUAUAUAUGAAGUAAAAGCACAAAAAUUAUGAGAUAACUAAAAACGUGGGGCGGUGAAUGGCAAUACUCAUUUUAAUCCACUUAAUUUUAACUCACAUUGUCAUGUCCCGUUUAACAUUUAUUACUAUUUCGAGUCCUUUCUAAAAUUUAUUGUGCUUUUUUUGCCUUCCCCUUCCUCUUUGCAGUGUUCAAUUUUUUCUUUCGAAUUAAUAUCCUUUCAAUCAUAUGUUAUCUUUAAAAUAAUAUUUUUCUUCAAAAAUAAUUUUGGAAUCUUGGUCAAGCUCAAGCACCGACAAAACUCUAAUAUUAAUAAAAAAAAUCAAAUUAAUUAAUCAAACACAAAUUAUUAAUAUACAAAAAGUACUUUAAUAAAAAAAAUUCAUAAUAACAAAUUUUAGAAGUUUAAUCAAUCACGCUAUUGAUUUUUUUAUUUUAGCUUUUAACAUAUUUACAGUAGUACCUAUUCUUAUUCCAUAUUUAUAAUAUAUAGAAUUUUACAUAUAAUUUAUGCAAAUAUUAUUUAUGGAAAAAAUAAAAGAAACUAUCGAGCGUUAGAAGCUAUCACGAUCGAAGACAUAACUUUGAACCCGUAGACCACUAAAUUAAGCUUCUCAAUUGUACUGAGGGGGUUCAUUUCUUUGUAUAUAACCAUACAUAUCGAAUUUGACCUUAUAAAUACAAUGUAAUUUUUUCGACGAGGGGAUUUGGAUGGACCCCUACUGCCCACGUAGAUCCGUCCCUGUGGUAGAGUAUCUAAGAAUAAUGCAAAAUAUAAUGUAUUAGUAAUACUUGUAUUGUUAUACUUGCAUUAGUUAUGCUGAGAUUUUUCUUAUGCAAUGUUUGGUUUGGUGUACUAAAAAUAUUAAGCAUUGCAUAAUUUUUUAAAGAAAUGUUUUUUUUAAAAAAAAAUAUUGGAAUGGAUGUGAAAAAAAUUUGAGGGACAAUUGUAUCUUUAACAUUGCUAAUGCAUGCAUUAGAAUUCAUUGCAAUACUAAUGCAUAGAAACCCAUGAUAUUAGUAAUUUACUCUUCAAUAUACAAUAACUAAUACAAGCAUUAGUUAUGCAUAAAUUAGAAAAGCGAACUAAACAAAGUACUAGUAACACAAUAAAGUGGGAAAGAUUAUUAUUUGUAAAUUCAAUUAGUUUUACUUAUUAAACUAACUAAUUGAAUGCCUGAUGUAAAAAGUGGCCUUUUGGCUUCCAUUUUAGUUUCUAGCUAGGUUGAUGUUUUUGUUGCAUCUUAAAUUUCGAUUCCAACAUAUAAAAUUGAGCGAGAAAUGUUUAUUUUGAGUUUUUAUUAGGGGAUAUUUUCGCCAAUCUUAAUUUUAUAAAUUGUCAGCUUUUUGUCUUUUCAAACGAAGUCAGACAUUUUUCUUAUUUUUAAGUGGCAAAAAUUGUAUAACGUUUUCAAAAACGUUUUUUUGGGCGAGUCCUGAGGAAGUUUUGAGGUGGGGCAUACUAAAACGCUCUGGGGUGCAAAUUAAAAACGUACAUUCAUAGGGCAUGAGACGUGAGUCCUAGAAUUUGGGGUGUAAGCUCCUAGCGUAAAACAUAAACCUUGGGCGUAAAAAUCGUACACCUCGGGCCUUUUUUUAAAAAUUAUUAUUAUUUUUGAACUUUUUUUUUUUAUUGAAAUCAUAUUUUUUUAUUUGUGUAAUGAUAUUUCUCAAAUAGUAAUUGUAAUAGUACUUUUUUCUUCAUUAUUGGUUAUUAAUACAUUUCUCAAAUAAAAAUCAUAAUAUUUUUUUUCUAUAUAUUAUAGCCUUAUAGGUUAUUAAUUUAAAUUUAUUUAUAGUAAUUGAAAGUUUAAACUUUUGCUUGUUUUCUUAGUAAUAAAAUUAUAAAAAAGAAUAUACACGAGACCACGUCCGUAGAUUCAUAAAACUUAUGUCUCAUGUCUCGAAGCUUACGUCUCGCUCCAAACUAUAUAAAACAUCUCGCCUCACACCCCAGCCUUCUAAAACACUACUCCAACCCUUUUAGCUUGAUCUAGGCCCAAUACACCGUCCAGUAUUCCAGUUUAAGAAGCUAAGCCCGCUAUGGACAGUUAUGGGCCCAUAAUUGUCAAGAAAAUUACACCGUCAACUCCUUUUAGAAAUAUUCAUUUUUAAAAUAUAUAUUUCAUAUAUUAUUAAUAUUUAAAUAAAAAAAUAUUAUAUGAUAAUUUGGAAUCUAAAUUAAUUUUAAGACUUUAUUUAGGAUUCUUAUUUGGCAUACAAAAAAUAAAAAAAGAUACUUUUAUUGCUUUCUUUGUCCUCACUAUUUUCACCUCGUUCUCUGUCAACAUCAUUGAAGCAAUUUGAGACAAUCAUCAACAGUAACUCUUUACUCAUUUUUUUCAAAAAAAUUUAUACUAAUUAACCUCAUCAGAAAACAAUCCAUAACUUAUUAAAUAUUCUUCGCAUUAUAAAAAAGUGCUUGGAUAGAUGCUUUAGACUGACUAUGUUUUAUCUUUUUAGUUCAUUCCAGCAACAACACAAAUUAAUUGAAAACAAACUUUGAUCAAAUACCAUCAUAUGUACUCAGGGGCGGACCCACAUUGGACAUUUCGGGUGCGCGAGCACCCAUUAAUUUCGUAUCAAACUAUGUAUAUUUAUAUAAAAAAUUGAAAGAAUGUGAGCACCGACUACACAGGUAGUCGUUUGAUUCAAUGGUUAUUUCUGGGUUUUUAAGGAUGUGUAUUGCAUCCGCGUUUGGGUUCGAUUCCCACUCUAAGCAUUUUUUUAAAAGUAUUUUGAAGACCAACUCUUCUAUUCUUAUUUAUUUCAUUUAGAACUUUUAUUUUUCACACCUUGUGUUGAUUGUUCUUUUUACUCUUUCUCUGUUUCCCUUUUGCUAUUUUUUUUUAUUAAAAAAAACGUUAUAAAAAAUAAUAUUUAUUGUAGUUUUAUCAUAUUAAUAUUUUUUGCUAUUGUGGCACUACAAAAAAACACCUAAAUCGUGGGGGUUUCAAAGUGGAGGUUAGCUGCAACCCCCACAAACUACAUUAAAUAACGAGGGUUUGGUAGCUGACGCAAAAUAAAAGUAAACAUCAGGGAUUUAAAAUCCCCAGAAAAAAAUUUAAGUAAAUACCGGGGGUUUAAACACCUGCUAUCUCAUAAUACAAUUUUUAUUUCAAAAUAUAAAAUAUAUAUUUUUAAUUCAUGAAAUAAAAAACACUCAUAGCUUUUGGAAAUACGUAAUUUAAUAAAUAGCUAUUUUUAAUUUAAUAACAAAAUACAAAAUAAACACAACUUUUGAAACUUCACUCCUUCCAAAUUACUCUCUCACUGUCACACUUCUCUCACCGCCACACUUCUCUACAGCGGCACUUCUCUGCCGUCUACAGCGGCACGUCUCCUCACAACUCUGUAAACUUCAGCUACUCACCAGAUUCAAAAUGGGAUAGGUGUUCUAAGGUAAUGUUUUCCACUUCUCACCUCUUUGAAUAAUGAACCUACCUCACAUUUUUGGAUUUUCUCAUCUGAAUCUUCACAAAUUGUACAAAUUACUGGUUGUAUUUACUAGAUAAGUUUAUUUUUUGGUUGUUUGUAUAGAUGCAUGGAGGUAGAAUUAGGUUAAUUUUGUUGUAUUCUUCAUGGAUGAAAAUUUUGAAAUAUCAAAUUUGAGCAUGUAUUUUGUGGUAGAAUUAGGUUUAUUUUGUUAUAAUUUUGGUGAUUCUACAGAUUCUUCGAGACAUUCUGUGUCUACAGAUUUUUUGGGACCACUUUGUCUCAAAUGGUGUCGCUAACAGGUGCCUUGUUUCUUCGUAAAAUUUGGAGUUGUCGUCUCCGUCGAUCCUUGUUUAAGCUGGAGUAAGGUGUAUAUAGUUUCCCUUUUUGUUUGUUAAUUAAUUCUUCUUUAGCUGUUACAUGUGCCCUCAAUCUUCACUUAUCUCUGUAUACUUGUAUUCAUACAUUAUAUUCUUAUUGAUUUGUAUCUUCAUUUUUUUCUUCUAAAUCACUAAUUUAUCAUUCUUCUAAAUUUGCAUGUCUUUGCUUAUUUGUUGUAUCUCUUCAAUCCAAUUGACUAUAUUCCAAGGUAGUUUGCAUUUAUCCACAAGUAUUCUUUGUAAAUAUAUUGAAUAUGGUUGGAUCAUGAUAUGAUCCAAAUGUUUGUUAUUACAAUGCUUGAUAGCUUCUAGGAUAGCCAGUGUCUCAGAUUAUUUUGGCCCUUACCAUAUCUGUAAUUCUGGCCAGGAGAAAGCAUAUCUAAAAGGUCAUAAACAGACUUCCUCUGUAGAAAAACAUCCCAUUUUGGACCAAAGUGUGUCCUACAUUGUUCCUGUAUUGUUUUAUAUAAACAAAUGUAUAAUCUUAUAGAAAAUGUUCCUUUGUUUAAUUUAUCAGGUCCGAUCCCUCUCCAAUAUUUGGAACUGAAAUUAACGAGAGAGCUUCUAGAUCUUCAAGGAUAAAGAAAGUUGAGGUACUCUUUCAUUUGCUUAGAUCACUAUAAUUUCUCAGUGGUUAGGCCUCUAGGGAAAUAGUUGAGGCCUCAAGUUCAUCUGAUGCUUAUGCUUAAAGUCAACUACAGUAGUAAUAAAUAGAGAUAAAUAGACAUUUGCUCUCAGAUACUGAAUGUUCUUGUUUAAUUUAUCAGGUCUGGCCCCUUUUCAAUAUUUGCUUUAUCUGGAACUGGAAUUAACGGGAGAGCUUCUAGAUCUUCAGGGAUAAAGAAAGUUGAGGUACUCUUUCCAUUUCUGCAUAUAAUGUUACAUAAAAAUUGUUAAAUAUGUCUGUAAUCUUAUAAUUUUCUCAUGAAAAUCUUAUAGGUGAUAUUGUCUGCUAAUCUUGUUUUUUUUUAUGGAUAAAUCUUGGAUUAGAAUGCCAAGGACCACAAAAGAAUAUUUGGUUGGCUUGAAUCAGUUCCUAGAAUUUGCAUUUAAAAAUGGAGCUAUAGAAGAUAGAAUAAAAUGUCCGUGUCCUCAAUGUUGUUUUGGCAAAUGGAAGACUAGAGAUAUAGUGUUUGAACAUUUGACUUGCAAGCCAUUUGAUCGCGUCUUUGAUCAAAUCAUAGUGGUAUAAACUCUAUAUUCUGACUACUAUACCUAUAUUCUUUUCUUGGACUUUUAUAUUUGGAUUUAAUAGAUAAGCUAACUAGUGUUUAUUCUUGAAGCCUUGAUUUUUUUCCGAGACAACCGACGAUAAGCUAACUAGUGCUUAUUCUGGAUCCACUGUGUUUUCUAGUGACAUAUCUAUUGAGAUUAGCUUCUUUAUUUCUGGCAAAGUUUUAUGGGCAAGGCAGCACUCAUGGUCUAGAACAUAUUUUCCAGGAUUGCUUCUGGAGCUUAGAAUGUGGAGUGUUGUUUGGUCUGAAUUAGGAAAAAAGAAUGUGGAAAUAUGAGUAUUUGUCUAUAGAACUUUGUGGAGUGUUGUUUGGUCUGGAUUAAUGCAAGAACAAGAUAAAAACUUGUGAUUCUUUUACUAUUAUGUGCAAUAAAGAAGUAGCAAGGUCCAGAACAUAUUUUUGCAUAUUCUUGUAUGUUAGUAUUGACCUAUUUGUUUAUGAUUGGCAUUUGUAUUGACAUUCAUAGUAGAGAAUUUAGUAUUUGUUUACAUACUGUUAUUGACAUACAAUAUGUAAGUAUUUUUUUUAUAAAUCACCAUAAUGGUUGGAUUAGGUUUCAGUCCUAAUCAUUUUAUUGCAUUCAAAAGAGGUUACAAAAGAAGGGUGAGAGCAUUUAUCAUAUUACUUAUUGUGUAUUUUUCUUUGUAGACAGAUGAUGCUAGUGACAGUAGUCGUAGUGACAAUCGUUGAAGUUCCAUGAAUAGUUGCAGGUCAUUUCUUGAGUAUGGAUGCUAGUGAACCCUUUUCAUCAAUAAAAGCAAGAUUAGCGAAUGACAGUUUUUGUAGUGAUUUGAAGUUUCUUGUAAUCGUAAUGGUUGAAGUGAAUGGUAUGUUUCAAUUUAGUUUGUAAAACUAAUAGUACACUUUAUGAUAUAUUUUUUUGUUGAAAUAUUUUGUUAUUUCUUAAUACUAAUAAGCCCUUUUAGGUUUGACUAUGAUGUACAUGUUAAUUAGUCAUUAAUAUUUAAAAUAGAUUUUUUCUAGCAUAAUGCUCUAGAAGGUUACAUGUUCAUAAAUUACAGGGGUUAGAACUCUAGUUAAUCUUAAUGUAAAAUUCAUGAUUUGUGGGGAUUUUGACUCCCAAAGUUCACAAAUUGCAGGGGUUUUGACUCCUAGAUAUUGAAGUGCAGUUUUAUAGAUAUACAUUUGUGGGUUCAAAACCCCCAGUAAUAAGCCCCCGCUAAUGGUAGCAGGGGUUCGUCCAAAACUCCUGGGACUUAAUUGUGGCACACCUAAUUGCAGGAGUUCUCUCAACUGCCACAACACUAAAUUGUGAGGGUUACUGACUGUCAGAACAUGUAAUUUUAACCCCUGCAAUUUAGGCGUUUUUUUGUAGUGUGGUUUAAUUUAAUUGUCCAUUUAAUGGCAAGUUAUAAAUUUGUUUACUUAUAUUUUGUGACGGUAGUCAAGGGAGCACCCACAAUUUGAAAAUCCUGGAUCCGCCACUGUAUGUACUUGAAUUUAAAUAAUACUUAAAGUCUAUAGUACCAAAAUAUUUGAACGUUAUUUCAAAGAAAUAAACCUUAGAUCCGUAAAACGUGUGUUAAAAACUAGAAAUAAAAAGAAAUAUGAUAAAUUUAACUGGCUAUUAUAAUUUCAAUAUGUAAUUUAUUUGAUCAGUACAAUGCAUCUAUUAAUCAUGACAAUUAAUGAGAUAGAUUGCACAUACAUGUAACUACAAAGUUUAUUUCCCAAACUAUGAAGAUUUAUCAUCAAAAUAGACAAUAAUAGCCCUUGGUAGCUUGCUAGUACACUUUUAGCAUUUUUCAACCCUCAUUACCGUCAAUUUUGCCAUCUGCGUAGCAAUACCACAAAACAAGUCUAAAGUCAAAUUUUCAAUUUAAGUUGCACCGUAAAAAUUAUAUGGAGACAUUGCAACUCUGGUCAACUAAUAAAUUAAUACAAUAUGGAUAAAAAAAACUGACAAUUCCUCUAAAAAUGAAUAUAUACAUCAUAUUCCUAUUCUUUUUCAAAUUAUAAAAAUCCUUUAAAAUUUAAGAAUUUCAGAUAUAUUACUCAAUAUCUCGAUAAAUCGCAUCCUGAUAUAUAUUUUUUGUUGAGACAAGACACACAUAUCCCGAUACAUCGCGUAAAAAUAAUGUAUUCGAGAAUAGGAGAAAGAGUGACAAAAAUAAAAAAAAUUAUAAUUUUUUUCAAAAUAGAGUCAACAGAGUGUAAAUUAGAAAUUAAAAAAAAAUACUGAAUUGAAAUAUGAUCUAUUGUUUAAAUUGAUUUGACUCGAUCUAUCUUUGCCCAUGUAAACCUUGAACAUAAUCAAAUGAGAACUCUUUUGUUGAUUCAAUCCAUUUAACCCGCUCAUUUGUCUCCCUUGGAUUUGUGAUCUUUAUUAGUUUCAACUUUUUUUCAUAGUUCAAUAUAAUAUGUGUGACUUCAGGCCAAAAUAUAGUUUGACCAUGAAAGUCAAACUACCAUAGUUGCAUACUUGCUUGUUUUUUUUAGUUUCCCAUUUGGUGUUCGAAGCCCACAUUAAAAACUCAAUCAAAUUUGAAUCGUGUAAUGCAGGGUCCAUUCUUGUUGAAACAAAGUUAAAGGAGUUUCAUUACAGAAAGAUGAAAUAAGACAAACUAAAAAACAAAGAAAUGGAAAAGGUAAAGAAAAAAGGAAACUUAAUUACCUGGUCCGCACCUAAUGUUGCACUUCCCAUCACAACGAGCGUACUCUCUCGCUGAAAAAAUAACAAAUUAUUACCGCUAAAAUACUACAUAAAGCUGAACUGAAUGCUACGAUUAUAAAAGAAAAAAGAAUAAAUAGGAAAGGGGAGAUCGAAAUGAUGACAUACGUGGGAGACCAACACAAGCAGUAUUGCAAUUGUCCCAGCAAUUGACGCCCUGAGCUGCGACGCCGACGGUGUCGGUGUUGGCCGAUAAAAGGAUGAUAAACACCAUAGCCAUAGCUGCCACUGAAUUCAUUUUCUUGUUUUCCAUUGUUUUCUUAUUAAUCUCUCUAUGCUUUUUAGUGUUAUAGUAUGAAGAUAUAAGCCUUCAAUGGAAAGCUCAUUUAUAUAUUGGUAGUCACUUUUAUUAGUGCCGUAGUGGACAAGUGGGAUACAGGAUAUUGUUAUUUUUUCAUUCCACCAAUUUUGACCGUUUAAGUAAACUUUGACUGAAAUAUAUAACAAACUUUAUUUUAUUUUGACCUAAUAAUACGUGAUCAAUUCCUUAAAUUUAACGGGAUAUUCUAUUUAUACACUUGAAUUAUGAUUGAUUAAGAUGAGUGUGUCCACUAAAGAUAAAAGAUGACAUAUUUUAUUUAGUUAACUUAACUAUCUAAUAUACAAAUGAAAAAAAUUGCAAUUUUUUCUUAAAAACUUGAAUUGAAAUUGUCUAUUUAGUUAAGGAGCUGAGUAUGCAUUAAGCAUUUUAUUUUUAUAUGGACUAGAUUAGAUCUUCUUUUCAGUCGAACUUUUAAAAAAAUUUAGAGAACUAGUUUAAAAUGCUUGAUACUGUAAGGUGAGAAAACAGAAAACUAGUAAUCUUUGUCGUUCCAGAGCCCUUUGAAAUAUUGUUUUUUUAAACGGAUACAAUUUAAAUAAAUUACAAUCAGCGGCGAAGCAAGAAUUGAAAUUAAAUGUUGAAAAAAUAAAUUAAAAAGUUAAGUUCUUGUGUGACUCUCAUAUCACCGAAUUUCUUUUUUUUACUCCAUAGUCAAACUUCGUAAGUUGUAGUUUGACCUUAUUUUUUUAAAAAAAUAAUAUUAUUAUUACUAUAUUUUACAUAAUUGGAGGUUGGAGAAAGAGAUUACUAGAUGUGAAUCGAAAUCUAAUCAACAAACUUUCGUUUAGACAAUCAAAAGCAAGUAAACUAUUACUCCCUCUAUUAUGGUAAAAUAUCAUGAACAAUGUAUUCAUAUAUUGUCUCCAAAGUUAAAAACUUUCUUAAAUGAACUUCCACCCUUAAACAGAUGAAAAUUAGUUACCAUCACUAUUCACAAACAGUUGACAUUUAAGUAUCUUCAGUCAAAAAAUUGUCGGAUAUGUGACCAAGUAAUAUUAUAACAAGCUCAAAACAGAGCCUCGAUAAUGUGCCCCUUACAUCAAGGUCGGCAUAACUAACCUAACAAAACAAAGCCUCGUGGCCGCAGACAAACAUAUCUAAUAACCAAUCAAUAAUACAAGGAAGCAACAAAUAGAUCCUCAAAUAAAUAACAAAGACAAAGUCCAAAUACAGAAAAAUUAAGGACUAGGAAUUUGGGAAGGUGCAACGGUGAAACUGAUCUGCUCUGAGCUAUGCCAUCUAUUCAAAUGCUUCAUCAUCGUCAUCUGGAAGUGGCUGAUUAAGGGCUUGUUGAAGCUCCUGUUCAUGCCUGAAUAAACAGA
rnacentral:lncRNA from 1 species